rnacentral:rRNA from 1 species
UACAUGGGGUGCAAACGUUGCUCGGAAUUAUUGGGCGUAAAGCGCGCGUAGGCGGUUACUCAAGUCGGAUGUGAAAGCCCUCGGCUUAAACUGAGGAAGUGCACCCGAAACUGAGUAGCUAGAGUACCAAAGAGGGUCGCGGAAUUCCCGGUGUAGAGGUGAAAUUCGUAGAUAUCGGGAGGAACACCGGUGGCGAAGGCGGCGACCUGGGUGGAU